rnacentral:rRNA from 1 species
UACAGAGGGUGCGAGCGUUAAUCGGAAUUACUGGGCGUAAAGCGUGCGUAGACGGUUAUUUAAGUCGGGUGUGAAAGCCCCGGGCUCAACCUGGGAAUUGCAUUGGAAACUAACGGGCUCGAGUGUGGCAGAGGGGGGUGGAAUUCCACGUGUAGCAGUGAAAUGCGUAGAGAUGUGGAGGAACACCGAUGGCGAAGGCAGCCCCCUGGGCUAACACUGACGCUCAGGCACGAAAGCGUGGGGAGCAAACAGG